AUUGAACGCUGGCGGCAGGCCUAACACAUGCAAGUCGAGCGGAUGAAGGGAGCUUGCUCCUGGAUUCAGCGGCGGACGGGUGAGUAAUGCCUAGGAAUCUGCCUGGUAGUGGGGGAUAACGUCCGGAAACGGGCGCUAAUACCGCAUACGUCCUGAGGGAGAAAGUGGGGGAUCUUCGGACCUCACGCUAUCAGAUGAGCCUAGGUCGGAUUAGCUAGUUGGUGGGGUAAAGGCCUACCAAGGCGACGAUCCGUAACUGGUCUGAGAGGAUGAUCAGUCACACUGGAACUGAGACACGGUCCAGACUCCUACGGGAGGCAGCAGUGGGGAAUAUUGGACAAUGGGCGAAAGCCUGAUCCAGCCAUGCCGCGUGUGUGAAGAAGGUCUUCGGAUUGUAAAGCACUUUAAGUUGGGAGGAAGGGCAGUAAGUUAAUACCUUGCUGUUUUGACUUUACCAACAGAAUAAGCACCGGCUAACUUCGUG
rnacentral:rRNA from 1 species